rnacentral:lncRNA from 1 species
CAAUGGUCUUUUGUGGCAACUUGGAUGGAGCUGGAAGCCAUUUUUCUAAGUGAAGUGACUCAGGAAUGGAAAACCAAAUGUUGUAUGUUCUCACUUAUAAAUGGGAGGUAAGCUAUGAGCACGCAAAGGGAUAAGAAUGAUAUAAUGGAUUUUGGGGGCUCAAAGGGGAAGAUUGGGAGGGUGGUAAGGGAUAGAAGACUACAUAUUGGGUACAGUGUACACUGCAAGGGGGAUGGGUCCAAGAAAAUCUCAGAAUUCACCACUAUAGAACUUUAAUCAAAAACCACCAGUAGCCCAGAAACUAUUGAAAUUAAAUAUAUGAGAAAAAAUCCAGAGGCAUAGAGAAGAAAGAUCAGUGAUAAGAAAGCCUCCAAGAGCGGGGUUUAUAAGAACAUCAAGGAGCUUGGAGUUGUGGAGGUGGGGCUUGCAGUUAUUGGGGUAGCUGUGGCAUGUGAGUAAAAUGGAGUGAAGAAGAUGGGAAUGAGGAUUUUAGAGGAGUUUUGCUUUAUAUUACAAAUCAGCUUUUCCUUUGAUGCCUUAAAAAGAUAUUGAAGUAGGUUAAAUUUUUUUUAAUGAUUUUGGAUGCUGAACUGCUGUGUCUUUGUGAAUGGCACCCAUCGUAGAGCUGGGACCACAGAUGAUUGUUUUACACAUUCCACAGAUAGACCUAUGAGCACACUCUUGUGAGAAGAGGGACUGCCUUUCUAGGCAUAUUUUGCUCCAUGCCGCCACCUUACUCAAGAAUUCUCUCAAGCUUUGUUACUUUCAAUAAGUUUAUAAUGCUUUUUCUUGAUCAAAAUUACCUCUCUUUUGACCAGUUCUCUUGAGAAUGUGUUUUCUACUGCCUACUUGCUGAAUUCAUGUAUACUGAUGGUUCUAAUCAAGGUGACACAUUUUCUGCCAUAUUUGAGUUUCUAGAAAAUAUGACUCUACUCGAAGGAGGAAAUUGUGGAAAUUCUAGGCAUUAUGACACGUCAAUGACACUUUUUUCUAUCGAAAUACUUCAAAUAAAAAUAUACGUUGUAUAUUUGCUUCCACAGGUUUUUUCUAUUCUGUCUUCAAAGAAAUUUGUUCCCUUCUUUAUUCAGUAAUUAGAGAAGCUAUUAAGUUAAAGUCAGAUUAAGAACAGAAUCAAGCACGUGGCCAAAGUGUUUGCUAAAUAUGGAAUUUUGCUGAGCACUGGGGUUACAUGGAAUGCAAAAAGACAAGGUUCCUAACCUCAAAAAAAUUGUAGUCAAAUGGAAAUGACAAGUAAUAAAAACAUAACCACACAUAUAAAUGUAUAUUCAUGUCCUAUGCUAAGUGCUACGUAGAAAAGAGAUAGGGUGCUAUGAGAACAUAUAACAAAGGACAUUUCCUAGGAUGGGAUCAAGGAAAACUUUCCAGAAGAGGUGACAAUAAAAGCAAAAUAUUAUUUGUAGGCAUUAACUAAGCAAAGAGGAUGGGGAAAUAGUAGUCAACCACACGUAACACCAUGUUCAAAGGUCCUGAGGCAGGUCAGAGCAUGAAACAUUUGUUUAAGAAGCAGAAGGUAAUCUAGGCACGGUGGCUCAUCCCUGUGAUCUUAGCACUUUGGGAGGCUAAGGCAGGAGGAUUGCUUGUGUCUAGGAGUUUGAGGCCAUCCUGGCAUCAUAGUGAGACUCUGUUUCUACAACAAAUCAAAAAUUUACCAGACGUGGUGGUGUGAAACUGCACUCCCAGCUACUCAGGAGGCUGAGGUGGGAGGAUAGCUUGAACCCGGGAGAUUGUGGCUACAGUGACCUGUAAUUGCACCACUCCAUUCAGCCUGGGUGACAGUCUCACAAAAAAAAAAAAAAAAAAAAGAAAGGAAGGAAGUCAUCAUAGCUAGAAGACUUGGAAGGAGGUAGAGAGGAUGCAAUUUGAGCUUGAAGAGGCAGAGCAGGCAAAAUCAGGUUGGGUUGGUGGGCUGUAUUAAAUUUUUUUUUCAUAGAGUUAUGGAAAGCCAUAGAGGUGUUUUAAGCAGGGAAGUAGCAUGAUGAAAUUUGCCUUAAGAACUUCAAAUGGAGAGGAAUGAAUGCUGGAAGAUGAGUUGUAGAAUAUCGCCAUGAUCCAGAUAAAGUACAAUGGCAGUUUGAUCUAGUUUUGUAAUGUGACUGACACAAUGAAGGGCAGGCUUGACAGAUAUGUAGGAGACAAAAAUUUAUAAGACUGAAUAGUGAUUGCACAUGGAAGUAAAGGAGAAGAAAAAGUCAAGGAUAACCCUCAGGUUUUUGUUUUGUUUUUGUUUUGGCUUCUGUGGCUGAACAAAGAGUGAGGCCAUUGAUCAAAGUGGAAAACAAUGGGAAAGCCUAGACUGGGGUGGAAAUGGGAGUAAUGAUAGGGCAAGAGCAUAAAGAGAUCUAUUUGUUCGUGCUAGAGUUUGAAUUGCUUUUGAAAUACCCAAGUUGAGAUGAUAGCAUCUCUAAAGUGAACCUAAUGAUAACUGUCUGACAGGGUGGCUCUGUGGAUUACAGGAGAGAGUGUCUGUAAAAUACAGUUCCUGUCACAUAAAAGGCCCUCAGCAAAGAUGACAUAAAGAUGAUCCAUGAAGAACGUGGAUGGAGAAAUAAUAUUAGAAAACUCCAAAUGAAAAUAAUAUUUCAGUGAAUGUUCAAUUGAUGUUCCCUUACUUUUCUACAUCAAAUAUUUCUACACAAAGGGAUAUUAGGUGUAUCUCCUUUUUAAAGACUGAGACCAGCACUUUGGGAGGCCAAGGUGGGUGGAU